AUGGUUCGCUGGCGGCUUUCUAACACCUGCGUCUCUGGCGGUCCCAAGUGUAGCAUUACAUGCUGACAAUCGGCGAAAUGUCGAGUAAUGCUUCGGAAUCUACCUUAAGGUGGGGAAUAACUCCUGCAAAGGUUAGCUAAUACUCCAGACGUCCUACCGGAGAGACCGGAUCUUACCCCUUUGGUCAAAAAGACCACCUAAAGUCGGAUUACCUAGUUGGUAUGCUAAUAGCCUACCAAGGCUACGAUUCGCAGCUGGUGUGAGAGGACGACCAGCCACACUGGGACUGAGACACGGCCCAGACUCCUACGGGAGGCAGCAGUGGGGAAUAUUGGACAAUGGGGGAAACUUUGAUCCACCGACGCUCUGUUUUGUAAAAAGGCCUGGGGUGAAGCAAGUCCUUUUCAUGGGUGAAAAAAAUGUCGCGGGCUCCCCCCUCCUUUUUUUUUGGGGAGUGAAAAAAAAAGGGUAGCCCGUACUGUCUGUGCCACCAGCCGCGGUAAUACAGACGGCGUUAGCGAUCAUCUGAAUUACUGGGCGUAAAGCGUGCGUAGACCGCUACAUAAGUCGGGUGUGAAAGCCCCCGUCUCCUCCUGCGAAUUGCAUUCUAGACUGCUGAGCUAGCGUGCGGAAGAGGGAAGCGGAAUUUCCAGUGCAGCGCUGAAAUGCGUAGAUCUCGGAACGAACACCACUGGCGAGAGCGGCUUCCUGCUUCCUUGCCUACGCUCAGGCUCGAAAGCGUGUGGAGCAAGCA
rnacentral:rRNA from 1 species